ensembl:lncRNA
GGGGAGUAGGGAGGGAGUAGUGUAGCCUAGACAGGGGAGUAGGGAGGGAGUAGUGUAGCCCAGACAGGGGAGUAGGGAGGGAGUAGUGUAGCCUGGGCCCAUAGGACAGGGGAGUAAGAAGGGAGUAGUGUUGCCUAGGCCCAUAGGACAGGGGAGUAAGAAGGGAGUAGUGUAGCCUAGACAGGGGAGUAGGGAGGACAUAGUGUAGCCUAGGCCCAUAGGACAGGGGAGUAGGAAGGGAGUAGUGUAGCCUGGGCCCAUAAGACAGGGGAAGUAGUGGUAUAGCCUGGGCCCAUAAGACAGGGGAGGCGGUGGUGUAGCCUGGCCACAUAAGACAGGGGAGGGAGUGGUGUAGCCUGGGCCCAUAAGACAGGGGAGGGAGUGGUGUAGCCUGGGCCCAUAAGACAGGGGAGGGAGUGGUGUAGCCUGGCCACAUAAGACAGGGGAGGUAGUGGUGUAGCCUGGGCCCAUAAGAAAGGGGAGGGAGUGGUGUAGCCUGGGCCCAUAAGACAGGGGAGGGAGUUGUGUAGCCUGGGCCCAUAAGACAGGGGAGAGAGUGGUGUAGCCUGGUCCCAUACGAUAGGAGAGGGAGUGGUGUGGCCUGGGCUCAUAAGACAGGGGAGGG